rnacentral:tRNA from 1 species
UGUUCCGUACAACAGCCUUCUAAGCUGUGGGUCUUGGGUUCGAACCCCAACGGAAUCA